CCCUUAGAUGUUCUGGGCCGCACGCGCGCUACACUGAUGCAUUCAACGAGCCUAUCCUUGACCGACAGGUCCGGGUAAUCUUUGAAUCUGCAUCGUGACGGGGAUAGAUUAUUGCAAUUAUUAAUCUUCAACGAGGAAUGCCUAGUAAACGCAAGUCAUCAGCUUGCAUUGAUUACGUCCCUGCCCUUUGUACACACCGCCCGUCGCUCCUACCGAUUGAACGAUCCGAUGAAAACUGUGGAUUGAGAGUCUGAGUGGGUUCGCCUACCUCAACUUUCGAGAAGCGGUUUAAAUCUUAUCGUUUAGAGGAAGGAGAAGUCGUAACA
rnacentral:rRNA from 1 species